rnacentral:rRNA from 1 species
AGUGAACGCUGGCGGUAGGCCUAACACAUGCAAGUCGAACGGCAGCACAGUAAGAGCUUGCUCUUACGGGUGGCGAGUGGCGGACGGGUGAGGAAUACAUCGGAAUCUACUUUUUCGUGGGGGAUAACGUAGGGAAACUUACGCUAAUACCGCAUACGACCUACGGGUGAAAGCAGGGGAUCUUCGGACCUUGCGCGAUUGAAUGAGCCGAUGUCGGAUUAGCUAGUUGGCGGGGUAAAGGCCCACCAAGGCGACGAUCCGUAGCUGGUCUGAGAGGAUGAUCAGCCACACUGGAACUGAGACACGGUCCAGACUCCUACGGGAGGCAGCAGUGGGGAAUAUGGACAAUGGGCGCAAGCCUGAUCCAGCCAUACCGCGUGGGUGAAGAAGGCCUUCGGGUUGUAAAGCCCCUUUGUUGGGAAAGAAAAGCAGCAGGUUAAUACCCCGCUGUUCUGACGGUACCCAAAGAAUAAGCACCGGCUAACUUCGUG